GAGAAUUGAUGAUCUAAGCUUGGAAAUUUCAAUUUCAGAUCAAAGACCUCUUUGGCCCUGAUCCCUUUGCUUUACUUAAGGUGUACGUUAGGGAUCGUGCUCGAGGAUCAAGUGAACGAAGCUAGUGAAUCUGAAGGUAAGAAAACUGCACCCGGUUAUGUGUUUGUGAUGGGACUAAGUGCUCCCGAUAUCUGUAUAAUGUCAUAGAUGGUAUUAUGCCAUGGGACAUGUGAUAAACAGCCUAAGGGUGCCGUAUACAAUAUUUGCGCACAGGGCACGGCUUGGCCACUGGUAGCCGAGGACAGCUUAAUAUUCACUGAGCUCGGUUUAAGCGGGUCAGAGUCAGUGGGAUAAACAGAGGGUGCGGCCUAAGGGCGCUAACCCUAGUUAUCAUUUGUGAAUUGAUUAUUGAUAUGAAAUGAUAUGUUUGGUAUGCUGAAUACUUGAUUAUCAUGAAUGCUUAGAUUGUUGAGAACACGUUUAUGUGAUAUGAGAUAUUGGAUUGUCUAUUGAUUGAUUAUGCUCUGUUAUUGUGUUUUCUUGCUGGGCUUUGGCUCACGGGUGCUACGUGGUGCAAGUAAAGGCAAAGGCAAGUUGGACCAAUCCUGAGAUGGAGAGUUGCGGAGCUGAAUGUACAUAGUCAGCUGUUCGACCGCCAUGGCCGAGGAGUGGAUCAGAACAGGGAUUGCUUAACAAUCUGUUUUGCCUUAGAGUGGCUAAUUCUGUAUUUAAAUCUUGAAUCUUUGUAAAUGGUUUAAUCUUAUUAUUUUUGAGAUCCCAUGUAAACAGAAAAUGUUUAUUUAUAAGAAAUGCGGCUUUUAAGACCAAAAUAUUUUAACCCAA